rnacentral:rRNA from 1 species
UAACGCGUGGUAACCUGCCUGGUAGCGGGGGGUAACUAUUGGAAACGAUAGCUAAUACCGCAUGACAACAGUUAUUGCAUGAUAACUGUUUAAAAGGGGCAACUGCUCCACUACCAGAUGGACCUGCGUUGUAUUAGCUAGUUGGUGAGGUAACGGCUCACCAAGGCGACGAUACAUAGCCGACCUGAGAGGGUGAUCGGCCACACUGGGACUGAGACACGGCCCAG